UCUUGAACAACUUUUUAAAUCACACACCAAAACUCCUGGUUUAAUAUCAAUAAUAUGAUCUAUGCAUCACACUCUAUGUUUUAAAAAAGAACAUCAAAUAAUAUACAAAGUACGGAGAGAAUACUUAAUAUAAUAGUAGCCAAUUAAUAGGGUGCUAUUCCUUAAAGGUAUAAUCAAUCGGUACUACAUUUGAUGAGAAUGGUUUCAAAUUUAUAUCAUGCUGGUACUUAGACCCUAUGACACUCCAUCACAUUUAUCCAGCUAGAUCACUGAAUUCUACAUGAGGAUGUUCAGA